rnacentral:lncRNA from 1 species
UACUUGUCACCAAUGAUGAGUCUAAGACCUUAGUCGUCCAGUUCGUGAAGGCUGAUGAUGAUGCUACUAAGGCUACUUCUCGUGUUGAAAAGUUAGGUCUAAGGAUGUUCCCAUUCUACUAGUCAAAGAUCAAGAUCAUGAAAUGUAAGAAUCCUCGAGACCAGUCCAUGGCCAUGAUUAAAUGGGUUAUAGAUAAUACCCGCAGGUAUAUAUAUGUGAACUCGUUUUUACUUUCGUAAAUAAAUCUCAUGAAUUUGUGUGUUUUCAGCGCUUUAUGUAAAUACCCGCACGUAUGUAUGUGAACUCGUCUUUAUUUUCAUAAUAAUAAUAAAUCAGAUAAGUUUGUGUUUUCCGGCGCUUUAUGAGACAACAUACCUUUUACAUUAAAACCAUGCAUAUCCGAUAAUCUAGUUCUAAAUUCUCAUGUCAUAUGCAUAUCACCAAAGAUCCUAAAUCCAUUUUUGGUUAAACCUAACCAAUCAAAGUUAAAUUGAACUCGAAGCCCCUUAUUUUUAUUUGCCCUUUUAAACUACACCGUACAUGAUAUGGAAAACUAUUGUAACUCUGUACUUGAUGACCUUUCAAAAAUGCCAAAUUACACUAGAAAAAGACAUGAAAUUUUGCAUUCUUGUUGUUUUCUAAACAUAUUAAAUGAUUUGGUUUUCAUUCAAGAACAAAGACUGUCAUUACCAUUAAUCCAGAUUGGAGAGAAGCAACAGAGUCUUGAAGUCUAAUGUGCAAGAGUACCAUUAUGUUUAUGGGGGCAUCAAGAGUACUAAAAGGUAUAUAUUAUAUGUUGGUAUCUUUACCUCAAGAGUCUCUAUAUUUCUUCUGUUUUAUAACUUUAUCAAAAUCUUUUGGCUGAGUUUGUAUAAUGAUAUUCUUUUUUUUCUUUAAUUUUGUUACAACGAUGACUAUCCAUUUGAUUCAGCAUGAAUGCCUAAAAGCUGGACAGCUCAAUGAUUAUUUCACCAGAAGGAGAAAGCUAAAUCCAAAACUCUUCUUAAUCUACCAGGUUUAGCUGAUGCCUUAGCUAUCUGAUCCUCCAUUAGCCUCUCUACGUCUGGUCCCAUAUCGUGAACCAUUUUAACCGACUCAGAGAGACGGUUGAGCAAGUUCACCAGUGCAAUCACCUCAUUACGUUGCAGUUGCAGCUGGAAAAAAAAACAUUUCAGAUCAUCGAUGCUUCUAUACACAACCGUGCAUAUAUAUGUUAGAAAACUCACUGUUUGGUCACCCUCCUUGUCUUGAUUCCCAACAGAGAAGAGGAUCUUCAACGCUGUCCCUAGACCCUGAACCUGAAGCUUCCCCCAAAGCCGACAUUUUUCACAACCUACACAAUCCAUCAGUGCACUACAAAACACAUACAUAACUUACUUAGCUAGCCGACAUAUUAAGCUCUAUGAGUGUGUCUCGAGAAAAAUAAGGCGAACCUUAUGUUCCUGAAUUGUUUCUGAAUCUGCUGUUUCAAUUCAGGUCCACCUUGACCUUGCCAGAGCUUAGCUUCAUCAAACGGAACAGGACACGCUGUUUGGAGUUUCGGACUGUACAACAAUUGCUUAAUCAAAGACUGUGUUUUCAGAUCUUCCGCAUGGUUCCCAGUGUCAUACUCUGCUUGCUCUAAGUACGCUGUUGCCUAUACACGUUGCAAGAGUCAGUAAGCUUGUUCAGAUUCGGCAUGUAAAAGACCGACAUGAAGAGAAGUUUAACUCACUUUAGUUACAGCACGUAGGACAAAUAGAUACGUGAAGUACAUGUUUCUGACACGGUCCGGAUGUCUCAGAAUUCGAUCAUACAUCAGCUCGAUGUUCUGUCCCCACUGCAUUUCAAAGCAAAACAUGUCACAGUCAUCACUCAGCAAGAAGAGAUACAAUAUCAGAAACACACAAACCUGGUUGCGUGACUCGUCAAGAAGAUAAUCACCAGCUAUGUGCAUGGAUAUUGAAGAAUGAAGACCUGAUAUCAAUUUGUACAAAACCUUUUUCUCUGGACAUGUCUCUCCAGAUGAAUCUGCAGAAACCCAUCACAUUGACCCAUAUUUAUAGCAGCCUCAAAAUCCGAUUUUCUUAUUCUUUAGGAUUUUUAGUAUUUUUAGGAUCUUUAGGAUCCUUUAGAGCAACAUCCAAUGACCAAACAGUGAGUUUUAGGAUUUUCUUAGCCUCAAAAUCCGAUUUUCUUAAAAUUUUCCUAAUCCUAUAAAGUUUUUUUACUGGUGCAUAGAGAUUUAAGACACAUCCAGAUGCAACAAAAACGAAUAGAGAAGGAGAAACUCACAUUUUGGGCAGUUCUCUGAGUAUAUAGAGUCCCAAAUCCUUCUAGCAGAAGGUCCAGUGUAACCAGUAAACCUCUCAGGGUUUAGUUGAAGAUUUACAUAAGUCAUCUCACCUGAACAUUAUAAGUCAAUAACCAAUCAUCAUCACACCUACAUUGGUGCAUCAAACUGUUUUAGUUUAAACUACAUUACCUUUAUCUGUGUCAUCCUCAUGCGUCCAUGGAUUAUUAGUCUCCACCCAACCUCUGAACGCUAUGUUAUCUAUAGUACGGUCUACAGCAGCUUGAGGUUUGCCCUCUUGACAAAUCAGAUUAUCCGAAGGAAGACCUGCGAUGUUAUACGGUCUUUUGAAAGGUUCAGGGAACUCGUUCUCUGGACAUUCGCAGACACUGCAAUCACGUAAACGACACAUCCCAUCGUCUGGCCAGAACGGGCAGUCACACCACAGUUUGACCUUAAAGUAACGGAAGAAUGGAGUCGUAACGAGAUCUUGAAGCAGAGGAUUCAAAACCUCACUGUUGAGAUUAUCCACUGUUUCGUAGUCACAGCAACAGUCCUCAACCAUGCCUUUGUAUUUACCACUUCCCUAUGUAUAUAUACCAACAAUGUCAUAAAAAAGAUUCAGUUUUUUUAUUUAUUAUUUUUGAAUCCAAAGACCAAAGCUUUUGACUUUUUAACUCUUGUCGACACAAAACAAAGUCAGAUUCAGACACGAACAUGUAACUGAGAUCCUUUUUUGUCCACAUUCCGUUAUAUCAGAUUGAAGCAAAGAGAUGGAGAGUAAUAAUCACGAACCUGAAGUGAGCAGCUGCAAGAAUUACGAUCGGUGAACAAGGAACCGACAUUAGAAGCGGUUCGAGAGCUAACGGCAACUGCUAAUAAGACAACGACCAAAGCCGCCAAAGGCCAUCGCCAUGUUUGUCUCUUCCUUUCGCUUUCUCCUUCUUUGAUUGCGCCUUUUCCCAUAAUUAUCGUGAAAAGAUACAAAAAAGCAAAUCAAAUUGGGACAAAUAGAUCCUUUCACGGUAAACACGUUUUAUUUUUUUGCGUCUUUCGGACAAUUCUCAAAACCCCAUUGUUGUUUUGUCUGAAGAUCGACUCGGCUCUUAUUAAGCAAAAGUCAUGUAAUGUGGAUGCGUUAGUUUCAAUGCCCGCAUUUUUAUUUUCGUUUUGACAUUUCAGCGCGACGCGCGGGUUUGGGUACCACGCGCCUCCUUUUAGUCGGAAUAUUUAUUUCGUUUGUCCCGUGACGUGCUUUAGCCAAUAGGAUCCAUUUAUUUGUUCCUCGGAGUAUAAACAACUUGCCGUUUUAGCACGUCUCAGUCAACGCACGGUCGUUUAUGAUUUAGUGGUCGCCACGUCACCGGUUAGCCUUAACUUUAUCCGACAAACUCUCGAGUUUUAACUUUUUAACUGAACACAGUAUCUCUCAUCAAUAAUAACAAUUAAAAAAAAAGUUGGAGAAAAAGAAACACUAUUAUGAAAAACUUGAAACUCUUGAGAUAUUACUAACAGAUGUCAUUGUAUAAAUGGUUUUACUUAAAAAAGUAGAUUAUUUAAUAAAACUAGAUUAAAAUAUUAAAUAUCAUUUAUGAAUUACUUUUUCUGAGAAUCUCCAGCAAUAAAAAUUCUUAAAUCAAAUCCAAAAUUUGAUAAAUACCUGGGCUGGUGAAUUGAAACCUGGGCCUAUGGAUUUACAUCCAUCGGGUCAACCAUUUUCCUUAACACAAUAGUCCACUCGAUCAGCUAAAGAGAGAACGAUGAUUUGGGUCGGACCAAGUAGGGCCGUCCACCUAGUUCAUAAGCUAUGAUGUUCUUCUGCACAUCGGCAAUCAACCCAAUUAAUUUCGCUUGAUGCCCUAAUCUCGACGUGUCUCACAAGGCAGUUGAAUCCUUAUUAUUUUGAACAUGUUGUUAUGGUCCUUUGUGUACUCCUAGAACCAAAGUUUUGUUGAGAAAGAGAACGAGACACGACUUCAUUAAUUGGUUUAUUUACAUAUAAGAUUUGGUGAUGAGUUCCAUAAAUGAACAACAAUAUCAAUCGGCCAAGCCGAGAAAAGCUAAUCUUGUGAUGUGAUUAAAACAUUGAAAAGAAUCGUCCAUUUUACAGAAAAAAAAUCUCAAGUGCAUAUACGUGAUUCUAACUGGAGCAACUAAAAGGAUCAGAGUAAGGGACAUGUGUCUUGCAACUGUGAAUCCUUGAUGUCGUUUGUGUGAGGGUUUUAAUUUCCAGACAAAUGAGGAUAUGGUCCACUAAUGCAAAAUGUUUCUGCAUCUUCCUCUCUUCUUGGGUAUAAUUCAUUAAGCCAACGUUUUUACGCUUCCUUGUCUUUGAUUCGUGUCGUUCUCUGGUUAUAACUCUUGAUUGUAAAUUUUCUGUCGUCACGUAUUUAUUUGCUUGCUUGUAAGAAUGUAGAAAUCAUUUUGUGACUCUUGUUUUAGCUAGUAAGUUUUUUAAAAUUAAUAGAAAACAGCUGUGGCCAGAAACGAUGUUGACAUUCAUUCGUACGUUGUUCUCACUCAUCCUUAUCUCUCUGCUGUGAAAUCUUGUCUUCUUCCCAUAAGUUAUUUGUCGUGUUAUCGUUCGUCUUUAUAUUCUAUGUUAGUUACUAAGCACCACUGUGCAUUUUCCUCGUGCUAAAAAUCGAAGUUUCGAUCAGUUACAGUAGAGUCAACCCUCACUACACUAGAAAGCAACCCAUGUCACGGGAAUGAUCAUAGUGUGAUAUGUGGAAAGAGCCAAAGUGUAUUUAAAGCUGAUAGAUACCAACUUUUACUUACCACCGAUGAUUUUUUACUGUCACACCACGAGGUUUAAAAUUUUACCGCAUAAAUCUCCCUAUAAAUACCGGUACAGUGUGUUUGCUCAACACAAUUCAACUCACUCAAAACCCUAAAACACACACAAACAAAACAAUCAAAAUGAAGAAACCUUCAGUGACCCCUUUUCUCAUCACUCUCCUGUUGGCUGCAGCUGUCUGCACCCACGGCAAAGAAGAGGUGAAGGACUCCAACGGAAAUCCAGUUAAGAUCGGUGCAAAAUACUUCAUCCAGCCGGCUAAGAGCAACGGCGGUGGUCUUGUUCCAGCCGCCAUUAGCGUACUUCCGUUUUGUCCACUUGGCAUCACCCAAACACUUCUUCCGUACCAACCGGGCCUGCCGGUUAGCUUCGGAUAUUAUCCACCUUUCGUCGGCACAGACUACAUUGUCACAUCUACCACUAUAAACGUCAAGUUCGAGUCCGACAUCUGGCCUGUAUGCAACGAGUUUUCCAAGUUAUGGGCAGUCGAUGUUUCCUCAUCCGCUGCCAAGGAGCCUGCCAUUAUCAUCGGUGGUGAACGUACGGCCCCAAAUAGCUUGUUUAAGAUAGAAGAAGCUACAGGAGCACACACUUACAAGUUGACCACCUCGUCUGGAACCGUUGGAACCAUCCCAGGGGCUUGGUUAAGUGCACCACAGCUACUUGUCACCAAUGAUGAGGCUAAGACCUUAUUCGUCAAGUUCGUGAAGGUUGAUGAUGAUGCUACUAAGGCUACUGCUACUACUACUUCUCGUGUUGAGAAGUUAGGUCUAAGGAUGUUCCCAUUCUACUAGUCAAGAUCAUGUAAUGUAAAAAGCCUGAGACUCGUCCAUGGCCAAAAAUAAUGGGUUGAGAUAAUUCCCGCACGUAUGCAUGUGAACUCGUCUUUACUUUCAUAUUAAAUCAAAUAAGUUUGUGUUUCCGGCGCUUUACGAGAUACACCUUGUAAUUUUUGCAUGAUAAUUGUUACAAAAAAUUUGUUACAAAAAAAAAAAAAAAAAAGAGAGAGGACCUAUCCAGGAAUUUUUGCAUGAUAAUUGCUUAGAAAUUCUGUUAAAAGUUCAUUUUCUGUUUCAUAGAGGUUUCUGAAUGAGAAUCUCUUGAAAACUUAUGAAAACAAUUCCCUCAAAAUCUUGUUUCGGAAAUGUGAUGGAAACUAGUGUUUCCAUUUAAAAACUAGCGACUUUGAUUCGAAACACAAAACGACUAUUUGUCAAUUUAUGUUUAAUGAUAGCUUAAUUUCUUUUUGGCAUACUUACCACAGAAUGAUAUUUUUUAUUUGUAUUUAAUAUCAUUUUCAGUAUUUAUUACCUUUUAAUAUAAUAAUUUAACUUAAAAGAAAAUGGACUACAUUAUUAUUAUUAUUUUUUUUUUGGACUAAAUUAUUUUAUUGAAAGAUAACAUACUUUUUUACCUUUUUGAUAAAAUUUUAUAAAAUUUACAAAAUAAAAAAACACUCCUAUUAUUUAGUUUAAUCUCUUAGAUAAAUUAAACAAAGGUAUAUAUAUUUCAGUUUAGAUGUCUAAACUGUUUAUUUCUUUUUAAACUACUUUUUUAAGUUUCAAAACGUUUCGUUUCCACGUAUUUGUUUCGGAUUCUAUGCUAGCUAGGUUAAAACAAAUGAUUUUUAAGUUUAAGCAUAUAGACUUCCUAUAAAUACCGAUACAAUGUGUCUGAUCUCUAUAACUCAACUCACCAAACAAUAAAAAAAAUAUGUCAUCAUUCCCAUUGGCCUCCUUUCUCAUCGCUCUCCUGUUGGCUGCAGCUGUCUGCACCCACGGACAAGUACCGGUGACGGACACGGACGGAAAAAACGUUCGUAUCAAUGAACGAUACGUCAUCCAACCGGUCAAUACCGGGAUUAACGGAGGUGGUCUUAUCCCAGUUGCAGCUAUACUCCCCUCUUGUCCACUUGGCAUCACCGAAGCACUUCCGGGGGAAUCGGGCGUGCUGGUUAGGAUCGCAUUUCCACCGAGGUUGAUCCCUCCCCUGCUGCCACGCACCAUUGUCCCUACAAAUUCCGACAUAACCAUCGAGUUCAAGUCCAACAUCUGCAAUGGCAUCUCCAAGUUCUGGGAAGUCGAUGAAUUCGCACAGAAUCCCGACCAGGCUGAGAUUCUCAUCGGUGGUAACCGGAGGAGAGGAAAUAGCUGGUUUAAGAUAGAGAGAGCCGGAAAAGAAGCAGAAACAAACAUUUACAAAUUUACCACUUCUGCCGGAACCGUUGGAACCAUCUCAGGGGCCUUGGAUAGUCCACAACUAGUUCUCACCAAUGAUGUGGCUAACACCAUAUUCGUCAAAUUCAUCAGAGAUGUUACUACCGUUGUUACUUCUGCUUCUCGUGUUGAAAAGUAAUGACUAAGGAUGGUCCCAUUUUGUUAAUGUAAAAGCCAAAGACUCGGUCAAUGGCCAAAUAUAAGGGGUUGAGAUUAAUACUGCACGUACGCUUUGGCUCGUAAACUUUUAUGUAAUGUCAGAAUAAAUUAUGUUUUCAAACAUGAAAUUCAAUAUUUAAUCAUAUAUCUGUUCUGUUAAAGUGAACUCCAAAUUUAUUUCUUUUCAAAUUAGUCUGAUUUAUUUUUAAUUUACUACUUCUGUUUCAAUAUAGAUAUGUUUUGAGUUUUCAUAUAUAUUAAAAAACCUAUUAAAAUUUAAUUAUAGAUACAUUAUUUUGUGAUUAAUCAUUUUCUACAACUUUUAGCUGAUCAAAAUAACACAAUUUAAUUUCUUCUAGGUCUACAAUUUAUCGUUAUACCUAAGAAAAAUACAUUUUAAACAUUAAAAAUGUAUUUUUAAAAAUAAAUUUUUUUUGAACAUGGAUCAUUCUAAAAUAGAUAAACUUAUGAAAUACAGAAAGUGUUUUAUAAAUUUCUUUUUUUUUUAUUGAAUAUCAAAUUUAUUGAUCAAAAUAACUCAUUUACAAGUGGGUGAUUAUGUACUCUAAUCAACCUGUGACAACCCGCCCCGUGGGACUACCCGCCCCUUGGGCCCCAGGCUCACAGCGCUGCAGCGCACCGACCCCAACCCCUCUAUUAUGAGUUCUCUCUAACUCCAUAAUUAGGUUGUUGGUGAGCCUCGAACCCAGGACCUCACCCUUUAACAGCAUUCCCACAGGACAAGCUGUCACCAAUUGAUCUGCAGGUCAAUUGGUGACAGCUUGUCCUGUGGGAAUGCUGUUAAAGGAUGAGGUCCUGGGUUCGAGGCUCACCAACAACCUAAUUAUGGAGUUAGAGAGAACUCAUAAUAGAGGGGUUGGGGUCGGUGCGCUGCAGCGCUGUGAGCCUGGGGCCCAAGGGGCGGGUAGUCCCACGGGGCGGGUUGUCACAAAAAAAGUCGAUCCGCCCACGGCUAAUGGACCACCCACGCCCGCUCUUUCGGCCCGUGGGCCCCAUCCCGUCUGACGGUCGGUCCGUUAAAUUUUCCAAAGGCUCGAAAUCAUUGUUUACUGACCCUGCAAUCACCACCCGACCUUUCCCCGUGCUUUGGCCUCACUCGCACGCUAUCGCGAAUCACUUCCCGAUAGGUCACCCAUCCUUCCACUACUCCAGUUCAAGCACGCUUAACUCUGGAGUUCUUUCAGGAUGUGCUCCGGAAAAGGUAAGUCAACUUUGGUGACAUAGGUAGCCAAAUCAAUUCUCUUAAGCCUUUUCACAUAUCACAAAUCGGGAUGUUACACAACCAUGGAUAAAUAAAAGAAUGAAACGUAAUCCCCUUCCAAUGGCUAAGAAACUUCAAACUAUCUUCUCAUCAUCUCCUCUAGCGGAUGAUCCUUGAUUUAGCGAAGAGAUGAUAUCUGAUUCCUAAUCUGUUUAUCAAUAGUUCGGGUGAGCUUCUCCGUCGUGACCCAAAUACCUCCAUGCCUCCGCGAGUUCCGUUCUUUACAGACAGAGUAGAAGACUGUCUGGAACACCAUCUUCUUGAGCACAGAUCCAGUCGACUAUGAGCAGGUAGCAUAAGAGAGGCUACGGUAUGGUUCCAGUCAAGAGUUAUGGCACUUCCAAUCAGUCUUCCUGCAAUGUUCAUCCAGACCGUGAACGAGUACAGACAUGCAAAGAACAUGUGAUCCAUGGUUUCGUUCUUCUCUCCACAAAGGAUACAACACUGGUCGAUACCCCCCAACUUUUCAUUCUAUCUCAUGUGGAUAAACGAUCUCUAAACGCAAGCCAUACCAUACCAUAAAAGCAAUUUUCCUACAAGUGACAUCACUUCUUUUAUCUCGUAAAUAAUUUCAGGUCUUGGCAAAAGAGAAAUUGGCUUUGAAGUCGUCAUGAUCAGCUCUCCAAAGCAUGACGUCCUCUCCAGAGAGUGUCGACUAGGCACCGGCCUCGCAUUUAGUUUCACGUAGACUUCAGAGAACCGCCUCUGCCCUCUACUACGGAUCUUCCAACCAGACUCACUGACCACAUCAGAGAUAAUAGCAGACCGAGGGACCCCAAGUACCCUAUACCAAUCUCCCCGGUUUCAUCCAAAAGUCUUCCUGUACCCAGCCAAUUAUCAAGCCAAAAAUAGGUUGAUCUCCUAUUAUUAACCUCAUACCUCAAACAAUCAUAAUAUCAUAUGCCAAUUAUAAAGCCAAAAUUUCCUAUUUUCUCUAUGGGCCAGUAAAAUUGAUACGUAUAUUGUAACUCUAAAUCUAAGAGGGGGACUAAAUCUAAUCUACGAAAGUAUUUGAAAGGAAAUAAACAAGCAAAAAAAUAAUUAUUUCUUCCAUUUCAAGAUUUUUCUUAUAAUAAAAACAAUUUUCUGUUUGAUUUUAGUUAAUAUCGUUUCAUUAAUAAUUUUAAAGAACAAAAGUAAAAUUAGAAAAUAUAUUUAUCAUAUGCAUUAAAAAUAAAAUGUUAUUUAUAUUAAAACGAGUUGUAAAAGACUAAAAUGAUAUUAAUAAAAUGAAAAAUAUAAUAUUGCAUUCGCUAAUCCCAACAUAUGUUUUCUAAGGCGACGUUCAUUUAAUAGACACAGAUGAAAGACUAAUCUCUUUCUGUCACACGCAGAUUUACACCAGCAAAGCAAAUAUGAGUUUACUCUGACCUAUUAUCUCUUUGGUCAUUCUUUGGUCAGAGUAAUUCUAACUCACUGCUACUUUUAUCUCAUUUAUAAUAUUUAGAGUUAAAAUAGUUUUAGUUCACCUUUAUUUCUUCUUAUGUAAUAGAGAUUGCUAUUUGUAAAAGAAUAGCAAGAACCGGGCCAGAAAACAAUGGAAUAAAACAUUUGAAUGAACCCCCUACCUUGUGGCACCUAAUUUAAAUAUAUAAAAAUAGCAAUAGGAUAUCAAACAGAUUUUAGAUUUUAUAGUUUAUAUACAAAUAAACUUAAUAUUAUAAAAUAAAAUAAUAUAUAAUUUAUGUUCUAAUUUUUUUUAUCUUCUUUAAAGAUAAUAAAAAUUAAGUUUUUGGUAAUGGAAAUUUAUUUUGUAAACUUAAUUAAACUAAACAUGUUUUUUUUCUGAAUGGGUCUCAAUAUUUAUAAAAUUCCUCUAUUUUAAAAGUAAAAAUAGCAAAUACAUUGAAGAUGGUGUGAAACACUUAUCAAAAGAAUGGAAAAUCUCUUGUGAUAUUUAUAUUUUUAGAAGAAAAAUUAAACGGUUUCUCCUCUUUUUACUUUUUUUCCUUAUUCUAAUUGGUGAUAAAGUUUAUUUGAAAAAGUUUUAAAAAUAAAGUUUAUUAGAAAACACCAAUGAUGAUAAGUUUAAAAAAAAAACCCAAUGAUGAUUAUUAUGCCAUAACUAUUUAUAAAAAGAAACAAAAGGCCGAAAUGUUUAGAAUGAUUCAUACGUUGAUUCCCCCACCCUACCACAGACACUAUGUAUGAAAUUUUUUUUUUUUUUUUUUGAGAAAGGGCUUUCAAGAGAAUUUGUUUUCUUCCCAUCAAUUAUUUGCUCAUCCUUUAUAUGUUAGUUGCAUGUUCCUCGUGCUCAAAAUCGAAGUUUGAGUUGAUUAGCGUAAAGUCUAAAACCCCUACUUGAGCAGAAGGUGUGAUCAAAGUAGUAAAGGCACACAGUUACGUCGUCUCUUCUUCGGCCUCUUUGCCGUUAGAAACGGAGAAAUAACAAAGAAAAAGGUGUAAAUUGCAUGGGAUUCUCCCGUCCGUGAAUAACCCAAAGUUUUUAAGGUGACUCUUUAAAAAUUUGUUAUUUUAUUUUUAAAUUCCCUUAUAUUUUUCAAAAAUACAACUUUUUCAUCUUAUUCUCACUUGUUAAGAUGACUAGAAAAAUACAAAGUGGAUGAGCCUGAAUCAGACUCUGCUUCGUUUCGCUUCACUACUUCAAAAGCCAGAACAGCGAAGGAAAAAACAAUACUUAUCAAGUUAAAGUGAAAUGAGAGAAUUGUGUAACGAUCAUGCAUCGGGGCUGAAAGAUGAAUGAAAACAGAAACUGUCAAUAUCUUAAAUAUUUUAAAUUCACAAUCAAGGAUCAGAACAGAUAAAGAAGAGAGAGAAUGAUAACUCAUGAUUAACCCGGAUUCUUAAUUUGGAGUUUUUAACUUAUGAUUUGAUAUUUUAUGUUCGUUUUUUUUUACAUUUUUUGGUUACGAACCAGCUUUUAUAUCUCUUGUUUAAGAGUUGGUUCUUAGCUUUUCUUAGUUGAAGCUAAGAACAUCACUCUAAGAGCUGCUAAGAACUCUACCCAAAGAGUCUAGGUUAAUCAUGGUUUUAAUUUAUUUAUUUUUUUGGUUAACUCUCUUAAUUUAUCUUACCGACUUGCUUUAAUAUUUUUCUAGUUAUGAAUAAAUUAUUAAAAGUCUAUGAAAUUUAAUGUGAUCUUUCUAAAGUUUAUCAAAAGAAACACGAUUUCUCCUCUUUCUUCUUUUUUCUAUUUCUGACUUUUUUGGUGAUAAAUUUUAUUGCUAUAAGCCUAUAAGUCUAUAACUAUUUAUAAAAAGAAGAAAACGAUUGUUUAGAAUCGUUCGUACGUGGGUUUCCCCAUCUUAUCACUUUGUUUGAAGUAUUGUCUUCUUCCCAUUAUUUAUUUGAACAUCCUUUAUAUGUUAGUUAAUAUGAACUGUUUUGCAUGUUCCUCGUGCUAAAAAUAAAAAAAAAUUCUUGGAAAACAUCGAAAUUUGAAUUGAUUAGCAUAUAGUGUAAACCCAUGUUUUCAACUGUCACAGCUAAAACCAACACAUUACGAGAAAGAAUAACUAUCAAAUUAGAUGAACUUAUAACCUAAAAAUCGAUUACUGAUACGUGCAUUGGUCUAUUCUUUUAUAUAUUAGUUAAAAUUUAUUCGAUACGGUACUUUAUAUGUAAUAUAAUUUUUUUGAUAUGAUGACUCUUUAAAUCUUAGUUUCGAAAUGUUAGGAUAAAAAUUGAUGAACCACUUUGGACUGUAUCGAUGAUUUAUGGGAAUAUAUUAUAUGGAUCAUACUCUGAUAUCAAAUUAUGUUAGGUGAAUUUUAAACUUAAAACUAAUUGGUGUGGUCAUCUCAUUUAUAUAUUCUUUUAACUUUCAAUUAAUCCCUGGACAGUAUUUGAGAAAUGAUUUCUUACAUAUUAUUUCUACAAUUGUUUUUACUAAAUAAAUAUGACAUGAUGACAUGUCUUAUGUCUAAAUGUGAUAACAUUAUUAGAAUAUGAUAGUAAAUUAUACAUCAUCACUAAAGUAAAUCUAUUCAAAUAUGACAUAAAAUAUUAUAAUAAUAAAAUAAUAUUUUUUUAAAAAAAAUUUAAAACAUUAUUUAUUUUUAUUUUUAUAAUUAUAUAAUUUUAUUACUAAAAAAAAAUGAAAAUUGUUUUACAAUUUCAUAAUUUUUAGCCGUAAUAUUAUUCGUUUAUUUUUACAAUUUUUUUAAAAAAAACCUGUUUAAUUUUACUUUUUUGAUAUUUUUUAUUAAUUUAUACAAGUUAAUUUAUCAUAUUUUAACCAAAAGAAAUAGAUACAAGAUGACAAAAAAAAUAGAUACAAGAUUUAUCUAAGAUUAUAAUUAUAUAUAUAUACAUAUAUAUUCUUAAAUAUAAUUUAAAAUAGACAAAAUUAUUUAUUUAUCUUAAUUUUAAGUUCAAUUAAAUCAAAAUCUAUAUUAAAAUAUUGGCAAAAAAUAAUAAAAUCUAAAAUAAUAAUCAAAUUUUAUUUUUGAUUAUAAUUUAAAUUUAAAACUUUGAUUCCUGCACAUGGUGCAUAAAAACACUUAGUGGGUGUAUAUGAAAACAGAAAACAAAUAUUAUUGACCUUUCAGUUGCAUUAUUUUCACUCUACCUAUUUUUUUCUUUUACUUGUCAUGUUCUCAUGCAAGAUAUAGAACAAAUGGGAAAGUAUAUGAUUUUCAGGCAUCUCAACAUCGAAAUUCUCUAUUAUUAAUUUGAAGUAUCCAUCUAAUAAAUAAUAAUUCAAUUUUUUCUCGUUAUAGAAUAAUUUAUACGUCUUUUUUUGAAAAAAAGUAUUGUCUUCUUCCCAGUGUCAGUCUUGAGAUAUUCGGGUACAAAAUAAAAUAUUAGACACUAAAAUGUUCAUAAAAUUAAAUUUAAAAAUCAAAACUUAACCUAUAACUUUAAUAUUGUUUAUAUAUUGUUGCUUUAUUACUUUUCUCAUGAGACUAAAAAACAAUAUUUAAGAUUUAUUUGUUUUUAUUUUUUAAGUUGGUUCCACGACUUUUGAGUUCUAACGUUUCACUUCUUCAAAAAAAUUAUGUUACUACAUUAGUACUAAUAAAAAAAUCAAAUAACAGAAACAGAAAUCUUUAAAAAAGUCCUAGACCCCACACAUUUGUUUCAUAGGAAUAGGGUCAGAACCGGGCCUGCUUCUUCCCCUUAAUUUAUUGAUCGUCCUUUAAAUGUUAGUUAACAUGAAUGUUUUGCAUGUUCCUCGUGCUAAAAAAAUCGAAGUUUUAAUUGAUAGCAUAAAGUCUCUUUUUUUUGGUACACGAAUAGCAUAAAGUCUAAACUCAUAUUUUCAUCACUAAUGAAGUGUUAAUCUUUUUUUCUACUGUCACAAGCGGUUUUAAAAUCUUUUCUUAAAACAUUAAGCUGUUUUGAAUUUAUUCGCAAGACUUCUUAUAAAUACCGAUACAUUGUUUCUGAUCUCUAUAGCUCAACUCACUCAAACAAACAAUCACAAUCAUGUCAUCAUUCCCAUUGGUAUCUUUUCUCAUCACUCUCCUGUUGGCUGCAGCUGUCUGCACCCACGGACAAGAAUGGGUGAGGGACACCAACGGAAACAGAGUUCGAAUCAAUGAUCAAUACUUCAUCCAACCAGUCAAUACCGAGAAUAACGGAGGUGGUCUUGUCCCACUUGCUGCUAAAAUUUCCCUUUGUCUACUUGGUAUCACCCAAGCACUUACGGGCGAACCGGGCGUGCGGGUUAGCUUCUCCUUUCCACCGUCGUUGAUCCCUCCCAUACCAUUCUCCCCUGUCAGUACAAAAUUCGGUAUAACCAUCGAGUUCAAGUCCAACGUCUGCAAGGACAUCUCCAAGUUCUGGGAAGUCGAUGGAUCCUCACUGAUUUCCGAAGAGCCUGCAAUUCAAAUCGGUGGUAACCCGCGGGAACGAAACAGCCGGUUUAAGAUAGAGAAAGUGGGAGAAGAAGGAAGAACAAACAUUUACAGAUUUACCACUUCUGACGGAACCGUGGGAGCCGUCCCAGGGCCCUUGGACAGUUCACAACUAGUUCUCACCAAUGAUGUGGCUAAGACCAUAUUUUUCAAACUCAUCAAAGUUAAUGCUGUUACUACGGAUGUUACUUCUACUUCUCGUGUUGAUAAGUUAGGACUAAGGAUGAUUUUGUAAUGUAAAAGCCAAAGACUCCGUCCAUGGCCAAAAAUAAGGGGUUGAGAUUAAUACCCGCAUGUACGCAUGCACGUAAACUUUUUUCUACUGUCAGGAUAAGUAAAAUAUAAGUUAUGUUUUCAAACUUGAUAUUCUAUUUCCAAUAUUCUAAAAAAACUAAUGGAAAAUACCCUAAGAUAGUACUAAAAAAAUUACAAAUAUAGACUGUAAGGAUGAAAAUGACCAAAAUAUUUCAUUAAAGAGUUAAAUAUACACUUAUAUAGGAUUAACUAAUUCAAAAUUUAGGAUAAACUAAUCCAAACGUUAAGGUUUAGAGUUAAGGGGUGGAGAUUGAGAUUUAAAAUUUUAUAAAAUAAAAAAUAAAUAUUAAAAAUUUGAAAAUAAAAAUUUUAAAAUAGUUUCAAAAAGUAUUUUCGAAUUACAAUAAGAAAAUUUGAAACCAAAGAUAAAAAAAAAUUAAAAAAAUAAAAAAAUUUAUAAAUAAGUUCAAAUUUGGAAACAUAUAAUCUAAAACUUAAUUUUUAAAAGUUGUCAAAACAAAUUUCAGUAUAACCAUCGAGUUCAAGUCCAACGACUGUAAGGAGCUAUCCAAGUUCUGGGAAGUCUAUGAAGCACGGAAUAUCAUUGAGCCUCCAAUUCUCAUCGGUGGUAGACCUGAGGAACCAAAUAGCCGGUUUAAGAUAGAGAAAGUCGGAGAAGAUGGAACAAACAUUUACAAAUUGACCACUUCUACCGGAAACGUUGGAUCCAUCCCACUAUUGGGAACUACACCACAACAAGUUCUAGUUCUCACCAAUGAUGUGGCUAAGACCAUAUUCUUAAUUCUGUUUGAAGUCAAGUAACCCAUCAAACUUAAAUGGAAUUCUAAAAUUAUUUAUUUUCAAGUAUUCGUAAAUCAUUGUGAGAUAUGUUUCUUCUUACUCUUUCUGACAUAUACAGUUUCUAGGCAUUGAGUCUAUUCUAACAAAUAAUUUUCAUGAAAGUUUUGUUAAACCGGCAUAUUGAUCCCGCUUAAUCAUCAAUUUUCAAAAGUGUACGUAUUCAGAAGCUACAAAGCAUAAGGCAAACCAUUCAAAACCAAAAUAAUUUAACUUUUAAGCCUUUUGAGCUUUUGACGUUAGCAUAUCUCUUGCGGCCGAAUCAAUGGGGAUUUAGGCCAAUCUUACCAGAAAUCAGGAACAUGUACCUUGUUCGAGGCCAAAAAGGGUGCAACGAUAGAUACUUUUUGUACACAAAUCUUCCUAGAAACUUCUUUGUUCGACAUCUCGUUGACAUACAUCGAACAUCAACUAGACUUUUCGAUUAAAACAUACUUAAAAAAGAACUAAUAUACAAUGAAAAAAAAAAUAAAGAAUACUAAAAAUUGCGGAA